GGAACGUAAGGGGCGUGACGUAAUCACGCUGAACACGGGAACGUCGCGACGCAGCGCUGGACUCUGUGAACCUGGAGGAGUGCGGUAGAAAUAACUUCAUAUUUUACAGUAAAUAAAAGAUUCAGAAAGAGCCAUGGCAUUAACUCAGGUGUCGUCCAACAAGUGCUGCGGUGGAUAUCAGAAGGUGUUUGAGCACGACAGCUCUGAGUUAAAAUGUAAAAUGAAGUUCGGCAUCUACCUUCCUCCAAAAGCUGAAAGUGGGAAGUGUCCCGUGUUCUACUGGCUCUCAGGGUUAACCUGCACGGAGCAGAAUUUCAUUACUAAAGCUGGGAGUCAGCAGGCUGCGUCUGAACACGGCAUCAUCAUCGUGGCUCCAGACACCAGCCCACGUGGCUGUAAUAUCGAGGGGGAAGAUGAGAGCUGGGAUUUUGGAACAGGCGCUGGGUUUUAUGUCGACGCCACACAGGAUCCCUGGAAGACCAACUACCGCAUGUACUCCUAUGUGACUGAGGAGCUCCCCCGGUUAAUAAAUUCGAAUUUCCCGGCUGAUCCAGAGAAGAUGUCGGUCUCAGGUCACUCUAUGGGGGGACACGGUGCUCUCAUCUGCGCCCUGAAGAAUCCUGGGAAAUACAAGGCUGUGUCUGCGUUCGCUCCUAUCUGUAACCCGGUGCAGUGUGCCUGGGGUCAGAAAGCUUUCUCCGGAUACCUCGGAUCAGAGAAAUCCAGCUGGGAGUUUUCUCUCUGCUGUGUCUGCAGGCGUACGACGCCACGGUUCUGGCCGCCUCUUACUCCGGUCCGGAGCUGGAUAUUCUGAUCGAUCAGGGCCGUGAUGAUCAGUUCCUGUCCUCCAGUCAGCUGCUUCCUGAUAACCUGAUCUCCGCCUGUUCAGAGAAGAAGAUACCGGUGGUGUUCCGCCUGCAGCAGGGUUACGACCACAGCUACUACUUUGUGUUUUCCUUCAUCAACGACCACAUCAAGCACCACGCCAAAUACCUCAACGCUUAAACUGGGAUCCGCAGCUCUCUGUGCCUUUCAGAUUCUCCAGCAUCACAGCGCUGAUCUGUUUUGGUCAAUAUUGAUUCUUUAUCAGUUUUUCUCAAAAUAAAAGCUGCUGAGGUUC